CCAGACUCCUACGGGAGGCAGCAGUGAGGAAUAUUGGUCAAUGGGCGGAAGCCUGAACCAGCCAAGUCGCGUGAGGGAUUAAGGCCCUGCGGGUCGUAAACCUCUUUUGCCGGGGAGCAGAGGUCCGGACGUGUCCGGGCCGGGAGAGUACCUGAAGAAAAAGCAUCGGCUAACUCCGUGCCAGCAGCCGCGGUAAUACGGAGGAUGCGAGCGUUAUCCGGAUUUAUUGGGUUUAAAGGGUGCGUAGGCGGAAUAUCAAGUCAGCGGUAAAAAGUCGGGGCUCAACCCCGUCGUGCCGUUGAAACUGAUGUUCUUGAGUGGGCGAGAAGUAUGCGGAAUGCGUGGUGUAGCGGUGAAAUGCAUAGAUAUCACGCAGAACUCCGAUUGCGAAGGCAGCAUACCGGCGCCCAACUGACGCUGAAGCACGAAAGCGUGGGUAUCGAACAGGAUUAGAUACCCUAGUA
rnacentral:rRNA from 1 species